GGGGCUGUAGCUCAGCUGGAGAGCACCUGCUUUGCAAGCAGGGGUCAGCGGUUCGAUCCCGCUCAGCUCCACCA
rnacentral:tRNA from 1 species